GGUAAAAUAGCCGAGUAGGUUUUAGACUGCAAUUCUAAGGACAGAAGUUUAGCCCUCUUUUUACCA
rnacentral:tRNA from 1 species